UUGGGAAUAUUGGACAAUGGAGGAAACUCUGAUCCAGUGACGCCGCGUGAAGGAAGAAGGUCUUCGGAUUGUAAACUUAUUUUAUCAGGGAAGAAGAAAGUGACAGUACCUGAAGAAAAAGGACCGGCAAACUACGUGCCAGCAGCCGCGGUAAUACGUAGGGUCCAAGCGUUAUCCGGAUUUACUGGGUGUAAAGGGCGAGUAGACGGCGCUGUAAGUCAGCUGUGAAAACUUAGGGCUCAACCUUAAGCCUGCAGCUGAAACUGUAGUGCUAGAGUGCAGGAGAGGUAAGCGGAAUUCCUAGUGUAGCGGUGAAAUGCGUAGAUAUUAGGAGGAACACCAGUGGCGAAGGCGCUUCUCUGGACUGUAACUGACGCUGAGGCUCGAAAGCGUGGGGAGCAAACAGG
rnacentral:rRNA from 2 species